rnacentral:lncRNA from 1 species
UUUUCUUCCUUUUAGACAUUUUCUCUUUGACUACAGGUAGAAGGUAAAUGCAGUAGAUGCCUUUGCAGCUGGAUUUAAUUUGAGGAAUUUUGAACUGACCCAUCUGCCACCUUCUGUUUUAUUGCUGUUACUGUUUGGUGCUCAGCAAUCAAUUAGCUGUCAACAAAAGACCUGCUUCAGUCUCUCUUUUUUUCCCCAGAGCCAUGCACAGCAACAAGACCUUCUCAGUGUCAAACCUGGGCAGUUUGAGAAUUCAUCUCAGCUAUAUUUAUCCACAGAUUAGCUAGGAGUAGUACCACUGUGCAGAAGGCUAUAGCAAGUGUGCCUAUACUGCCUAUACCAAGGAUGGCUUAAAAGCAGCUGGUUUGAUACAGCUUGGAGUUGUACCAGCAUGAAGUUCUGCUCUGCCUGACCACAGCAUCACAUCAGUUCUUUCUUUUUACCCAGAUUUAAGCAACAGCAAAACCAGACAAAUAUUAUUCAUUGUAGUGUAUCUGUACCGCUACAGUCUUUAAAAGCUGACUUCUGGAUUUUAGUCCACUACCUUAAGGAUCAGAAUCCUGUAUCUGUUCCAUUCACAGAUGGUAAUGGGGAAGCAGAUCAUAAAACACAUCAGAGAAUCCUUCCUCAAGAGAAGAUAAAGCUUUGUAAAAACAGAACCUUUUAUUCUGGGCUGU